rnacentral:siRNA from 1 species
UGACAUAUACCUUUGGCGCCGUGU